UAGGGGUGUUGAGAGAAAAACAAUUUGCAAUAAGUUGGUUGUAUUCGGAAGCCGAAGGGAAUGUAAAAUUAAUGUAAUGGAUUGUUGUGAGCUGAAUGCUUGUAAUAGUUAGUACUUUAUAUUUUUGGUAUCUUUCUUAUGCAUUCAGUAUGUGAAAUCUGUUCAUGGUUGGAACCUCGUGAUUUGUACUGUUGCGACGCCUUGGACGUACAGAAAAAACUUUGUCCGUU
rnacentral:lncRNA from 1 species